rnacentral:lncRNA from 1 species
GUACAGUCAAACGCAGCAGCUUCAGCUAAAGAAACACGUUUUUAAAGGGGUUUAUUCCCCUCUUUCCUUCCUCCUUUCCCCAGCUUGGGUUCCCUUCCUCCAGGGUCAUGUGUAUGUGAACUCGGUCACCGUGUUUUAGUUGGGAGGGGGUUACGCAAGCCCCAAACCGGAACAACAACUCCCGUUUCACCCUGCAGCAGUCCCCUCGGCCGGCCUGAGCACAGCCACGUGGGGGGAACCCCUGCGACCGGCGGGGCUUGAGGGAUACAGUGAGGAAUGGGCUCCCCAUAGCGAGCUCGGACGCGGAGCACUGCGGGGAUGCUGCCGUUGAGAGCGGAAGGAACGAGCCCGGGAAGGAGAAGGAGCCCCUGGAGCAGCUUUACCGCGUGGGACCGCUGCUGGGGAGCGGCGGCUUCGGGUCCGUGUACUCGGGGGUCCGCCUGUCCGACAGCGCCCCGGUGGCCAUCAAACACGUGGCUCGGGACGCAGCAUCAGCCCCGCGGUAACGGUCGGUGCUCCCCCGGUUCCCUGCUGCCAUCUUCCGGCACCGCGGCUGUUCCUUACAACCCAAAGUUUGUCAACAAGAGUCACGUGCUGAUGACGGGACCGGGUGACACAGUGUGUGUGUGUCCCCUGGUCCACAGGCUAAGGGAAUGAUGUCUCUGUCUGCUAAUCCCCUGGCUGAGGAGGGAAUUUGGGAGUCCCAGAGGCAGCUGCUUCCAGCAGGGAACAGCCAGUCCCUGCUGCAAGCAAGGAUCUCCUGGAGCCAUCCUUAACAGCACCACCAGCA